CUUGGUUACAUUACUGCCUGUCAGCAGUUUACAGACAUGCUACUGCAACCAAAGGUUUGCCUGAAACCCCGCCGAGAAGAAAAUCAGCAUGUGCCUAUGUUUGUGUCCGUACAGAUAUUACCUGGCUUGGCCACUCACAAAAAACUCUGUGCCCUUUCAUGCUGAGAGUCAAGAGCCUGGUGUCUUGCACAGAAGGUGACUUCCAGCUGAGAAGAGCUUCAGCUCCAGGCACUAAUUCUUUUGGACUCGAAGCCACAGAGAGACUCUGCUGAGUGUGUUCAGAUUUUCUCACCUCCAGCCCAGUCUGCCCCCACAGUGAGUGCUGAGGCAGAGCCCCAGGCCCUGAAGCCAGGCUUUCAGCUGGCUUGGAAGUCGCUCCCAACUGGUGCUGAGAUUCCUCCAGAGAUAGACAAGGAGGAAGCAUUUUUGCCUCCAAGAAAGAAUGAAAAUUACAACCCUAUCUACAUAGCAAAGGAUACUUUACCC
rnacentral:lncRNA from 1 species